AGUCCUCACUGGGCCAAAAUAGGAUUUUGGUUUUGGGAGUCAGUCUCCUCCAAUUCCUCCCGCAGCCGCCGGCCAUCCCAUCUCCGGCCACCGUUCCCCGCCCCGCCUCGCCGUCCACCCCAGAUGCUCCGCUGGCGCCUUGUCCUACCCCACCUCCGACCACCCUCCUCCGUCAUCCCCGCGACCCCCCCUCGACCUCACGCCAACUCCCGAUCCAGAUCGAGGAGAGCCGCCGCUCCGGUGCCCCUCCUCGCCUCGCCACCCUGGUGCCCCUGAUCCGCCUCCCCUACUUCUGUUGCCGGGUGAAGAACCCACGUCGAGGGUGCCGCGGGAGGUGCCUCUCCUCCUCCUCCUCCUCACGCCCGUGGUGGUGGCAUGGCUGUUGCCGGCGCUGGAGAUGGAGAUGUAGGACCUCCUCGACUUCUACUCCCGUACGCGUCGAGCUCAUCCACCUCGAAAUCGACCUCCACCCGAAGCUGCCAGUGAGCUCCCCAACUAGCUGCUCCCGCUAUCUGUGGCCUCUGCUUACCGAAAUGUCGAGUUUCUAGCUUGGCGGCGCUCCGGCUGCCAGCGCCGCUUGCCUCGGAUGUGCCCCUGGAUCCUGCCACUGGUCUCCUGCUCCGACAGCAUGGUUGUAGAUUGAUGGUGGUCUCGCUUGCCGGUGAGACAGCACCUCUCCGUGCAACCCUGACGCUCGGAGAUCGGCAUCGUAACCCAGGAAAGGCUUAUGUGGCUGGUUUCACCAUGUGUCUGCCAAGUUCCGCAGUGGUGGUUGAGGCAAACUCCUGGUGUAGCCUGAGAGGACUCCAUCAUCCUCGUUGCCGCCUGCGGCGUUCUGCUGCUUGGCGGUGGAUGACAAGGUCUUCCUCGAGCACGAGGUGUCCCAGGUAGUGCGGCAUCACCAUCAAGUAAGACUUCAAGGCAGAAGGUGUUGUUGUUACCUCAUUCUGAAUGUGUUACCUCACUAUGGAGGGAUUUGGCUAGCAGCGCAACCAAGAAGGUGUUCUCUUCGCAGACCCUGUCUCUGCCCCGGUACAAGAGCGGCAAAGGUAGUAACACUGGAAGAGGCAUUGGAUCUGCUUCUUGGAUCGAGUUUUUUUUGCUUUUGGAGACAUCGAUGCUUGUUUGGAUCAAGCAGCAAGGACUCGUCAACGUAUGGAACGUCUAUGCCUCCGGCUGCUUUGGUGUCUGGCACGACGCAGCCGGCUUGCGGCUUAUAUAACGUUUCAGGGUCCUUGUGAUUACGUCGAGUAGCUGCACAUUUGGUAGUUACAUAUCAUUCAUUCAUGUGGUGCUCCUGAUUUAUCCAGGAGUCGUAAUUUCAGGGUCCUUGUGAUGACGUCGAGUAGCUAUCGACUUGGUAUUGACAUAUAUCAUUCAUUCAUGUGGUGCUCCUGAUUCAUCCAGGAGUUGUAACAGCACAUAAGGAGUUGUUUCCUUCA